UACGAAGGGUGCAAGCGUUAAUCGGAUUUAUUGGGCGUAAAGGGCGCGUAGGCGGAUCAGAAAGUCAAAUGUGAAAUCCCAGGGCUUAACCCCGGAACUGCAUUUGAAACUCCUGAUCUAGAGGGUAGACGGAGAAAGUGGAAUUCCACAUGUAGCGGUAAAAUGCGUAGAUAUGUGGAAGAAUACCGGUGGCGAAGGCGACUUUCUAGUUUAUACCUGACGCUGAUGCGCGAAAGCAAGGGGAGCAAACAGG
rnacentral:rRNA from 1 species